rnacentral:rRNA from 1 species
AUUGAACGCUGGCGGCAGGCCUAACACAUGCAAGUCGAGCGGAGCGGCGGACGGGUGAGUAAUGCCUAGGAAUCUGCCUGGUAGUGGGGGAUAACGUCCGGAAACGGGCGCUAAUACCGCAUAGUAUCAGAUGAGCCUAGGUUGGAUUAGCUAGCUGGUGGGGUAAAGGCCUACCAAGGCGACGAUCCGUAACUGGGCUGAGAGGAUGAUCAGUCACACUGGAACUGCGACACGGUCCAGACUCCUACGGGAUGUAGCAGUGGGGAAUAUUGGACAAGGGGCGAAAGCCUGAUCCAGCCGUGCCGCGUGUGGGAAGAAGGUCUUCGGAUUGUAAAGCACUUUAAGUUGGGAGGCGUUACCAACAGAAUAAGCACCGGCUAACUUCGUGCCAGCAGCCGCGGGAAUUC